GCUGAAUGGCGUAAUAGAAGUUUGGCCAAAACGCGAAAUCUGUGAGCGGAGGAGAUACCAGUGGGCACUCCAAGGCAACUUCACACUCCUUUUAAUCUUUCAUCCUAUCUUUGUAUUGUUGAACCCUCGAUUCUCUGCAACAUUCUUCGAUUCAAUUGCUCUUGUGAAAUUCCUCCUUUAUUAGCGGCUAAACCCUAAAUCAGAACUUUGGUGUGGUGUGUUGACUUAAUUGAGUGUAGAAAUAGAAUAAUGGUGAAAGCAUAUACACAGGAACACGUCUACAAGCACCCUUGGGAACGUGUAACUUGUGCAUCUUGGCGCAAGUUUGCUGACCAAGAGAACAAACGCAUAUUAUCCCAUAUUCUUGAUGUUGACACAUUGAACCACAGCCUUGACCCUUCAUCAGGGAAGCUUUACACGACCCGUGCUAUCACGAUCCAUUGUCCUGGGCCGUGGUUUGUCCGCAAGAUUGUUGGUCAGGAUAUUUGCCACUGUGUGGAAUCCACUGUGGUGGAUGCACGGUCGCGCUCCAUGCAACUAACCUCCCGGAAUAUCAGCCUCCAGAAGUUCAUUGAAGUGGAAGAGAAGAUCCGAUAUGAUCCUCACCCGGAUAACCCGACUGGGUGGACAAUUUGCCAGCAGGAGACUCGCAUCCGGAUUAAGCCGCUGUCGGCUUUGGCAUCCAUGGCUGAAAAGGUGGAGCAGCGAUGUGCUGAAAAGUUCCUUCAGAAUAGUGUCAAGGGUAGAGAGGUUAUGGAGAGGAUUUGUAAAUAUCUUGAAGCAGAAUCAAGCAGCCUUGCCUUGUGAUUCUAUCUUUCUCAUCUCAGUUUUGGGUUUAUUUAGUUUAAAUUGUUACAUUUGUAAGAUAACUGAGAAAACAUUGCCACAUCAAGCAAGACAUGGAAGAUGAUGAAGCUUGUGUCUCUACCCUUGAUGGCGCACUUAAUCAGAAGCUUUAGUUUUUAUAUGGAUAUCUUGAGGUAGAAGUGAUUAUCCAUAGAUUUUCAGAAGUUUGUUUUUGACGCAAUAUUCGGCAUUGACAAAGUGAAAAUGAAGUUGUAGUUAAUUAUUCAAUCAAAUCUGCUGAUGAAGGGUUAACUUUGCACGGUAGCAUUUCUGAUGAGUUCCAAAUAUGAAGUCCACGUGCACGAGUGGGGAGAUUUUACGUGUAUCAUUUACAUUGUUGGAUUUGGUGUUUUCAAUGGUGAAAUAACAUUUUGUUUGGUAGACUUA